rnacentral:lncRNA from 1 species
GUGGCCACCAAGGGCGGCGCUCUCUGCCUCGGUGUGGUGGACGGCGGCGUGGCGUCGGAAACGUCGGUGGUGAUCGGCGGUCACAUGAUGGAGGACAACCUGCUGGAGUUUGACCUGGUGGGAUCGCGGCUGGGGUUCAGCUCCUCCCUCCUGUUCCGGCAAACGACCUGCAACAACUUUCGCCUCGGCUAGAUGUGCAACGCAUGGCAGUCGCCACUGCAGCUUAGCUUACUAUCUCAAAAAAAAAAAAGAUGCUUUGCAUUUCUUUGUGCAAUCGUGUGAAGUUGUUGGAAUAAAUUGUUCAUCCAUUACAACUAGUCAACCAGCGUAGGCAUUUGACUUGGAUCUACUUGUUCUUUACCAUAUCCUUGAUAGUGAGAGGUGGCGUUUGACUGAAACAACAAUUUGGAAUCAAUUUUGCUAUAUAUUAUCGAUAAAUUUUCUUCUAAAAUAUUGACUGAUGUAAUUAUAGUACAAUCGUAAUGUAAUUUAAUUUUGCUAUAUAUUUAUCGAUAAAUUUUCUUCUAAAAAUUUAAUAUAUAUAAUUACAGUAUAAUUGUAAUGUAAUUACACUGUAACUUGCAUGCAACUAUAAUGUAAGCAUGUAACUUUCACAUAAUUUUAAAUCGUUAGAUCUAUUCAAAUGAAGAAAAAAAGUCGCUGUGUGCACAUAUGUGUGAGGGUUCGUUCCACGACCUCCGUUUGACGGAAAUAGCAUGUUACGGAGAGACUUUUGAAAGUUACAUACAAGCUGUAUGUAAGUUACAGUGUAAUUACAUUAUAAUUGUAUUAUAAUUAUAUCUAUCAAACUUUUAAGAGAAAAUUUAUCGUAAAAUGUAUAGGUAAUCUCAAGCACUUGACCUUACUUUGUCAGCAAAUGUAAUCAACCGUCGCUGCUUGUGCAGUCUUCUCCCAUUUCAGCUCCCCUCGCUCCAGCUGAUCAGCACUGGUCCAGUUUAGAUUAGUUGGAUGAGUUGGAUACCAUCAUCUCAUCACCCAUACAACAAUGGCCACCCCUGCAAAAGGCUGUGCAGAUGGUUUGCCUGCCUGCAUGGUGGCCCGCAAUUGGUCGAGAACAAAGGUCGCAAUUCGCACAUGCCCAGACCGUCAAAUACUACCAGCAUUUUCCUUGCUAUAACAGCAGAGUUCCGUUUCCACUUCGGCGUCUCGUACAGUCGUACUCUCGCUCGGCCCGCGACUAUACAGUCUGCCCUACCAGGCUACCACCGCCAUCCAUCGCCGUUGUAUUCUGGGAUGGUGAUUGGUGCGAGAGCCGAAAUACCAAACCGCGCGCGAGGGUGCGCCCUAUAAAUAUCCUUCCUCGCCGCUGCAAUGGUUCACACCCCAUCGGAAUAUCGCAUCCUUCCUCUCAGAAGAAUGGCACGCUUUCCUCCUCCUCUCGCUUCCGGCGCUCUCCUCCUCCUGCUCUUCGUCUUGGUCUCGCCGUGCCGCUCGGCGGCAGGAGGCCGGCCGAGAGCCGUGGUGCUGCCGGUGAGCAAGGACGACGCGACGCAGCAGUACGCGACGGUGUUCCGGCAGCGGACGCCGCAGGUGCCCGUGAAGGCCGUGCUGGACCUCGCGGGCGCCACGCUCUGGGUGGACUGCGAUACCGGGUACGUGUCGUCGUCCUACGCGCGUGUCCCGUGCGGGUCCAAGCCGUGCCGCCUCACCAAGACCGGCGGCUGCUUCAACAGCUGCUUCGGCGCGCCAUCCCCGGCCUGCCUCAACGGCACCUGCAGCGGGUUCCCGGAUAACACGGUCACGCGCGUCACGGCUGGCGGCAACAUCAUCACCGACGUGCUCUCGCUGCCCACCACCUUCCGCACCGCGCCGGGGCCGUUCGCCACCGUGCCGGAGUUCUUGUUCACCUGUGGCCACACGUUCUUGACCGAGGGCCUCGCUAACGGCGCCACCGGCAUGGUGUCCCUCAGCCGCGCCCGCUUCGCGUUCCCCACGCAGCUCGCCCGAACCUUCGGCUUCUCCCGCAGGUUCGCGCUCUGUCUCCCGCCGGCCUCCGCAGCUGGCGUCGUCGUAUUUGGCGACGCGCCUUACGUGUUCCAGCCCGGCGUGGACCUCUCCAAGUCGUCGCUCAUCUACACGCCUCUGCUCGUCAACGCGGUGAGAACGGCGGGGAAGUACACAACGGGGGAGACGUCGAUCGAGUACCUCAUCGGCUUGACGGGCAUCAAGGUGAACGGCCGCGACGUGCCACUGAACGCGACGCUCUUGGCAAUCGACAAGAAUGGCGUAGGCGGCACCACGCUGAGCACGGCGUCUCCUUACACCGUGCUGGAGACCUCCAUCUACAAGGCGGUCAUCGACGCGUUCGCGGCCGAGACGGCCACGAUCCCCCGUGUGCCGGCCGUGGCACCGUUCGAGCUGUGCUACGACGGGCGCAAAGUAGGGAGCACCCGCGCGGGGCCAGCGGUGCCGACGAUUGAGCUGGUGCUGCAGAGGGAGGCCGUGUCGUGGAUCAUGUACGGGGCAAACUCGAUGGUGCCCGCCAAGGGCGGCGCGCUCUGCCUUGGCGUGGUGGACGGCGGCCCCGCGCUGUAUCCGUCAUCGGUGGUGAUCGGCGGGCACAUGAUGGAGGACAACCUGCUGGAGUUUGACCUGGAGGGGUCGCGGCUGGGUUUCAGCUCCUACCUCCCGUUGCGGCAGACGACCUGCAACAACUUUCGCCUCGGCUAGCAGAUAGCAAUACUGUGGGCAACCUGUAGUAGCCAUGGACCCAUGGUAGCUAAUACUAUCAACUAGUACCUACAUUUCUAAUUUUCCCUUUCUACUUUGUUGUUAGAAUUGCUCAUGAACCGCCA